rnacentral:rRNA from 1 species
AUUGAACGCUGGCGGCAGGCCUAACACAUGCACGUCGAACGAGUGGCGGACGGGUGAGUAAUGUAUGGGAAACUGCCUGAUGGAGGGGGAUAACUACUGGCAACGGUAGCUAAUACCGCAUACCAUCGGAUGUGCCCAGAUGGGAUUAGCUAGUAGGUGGGGUAACGGCUCACCUAGGCGACGAUCCCUAGCUGGUCUGAGAGGAUGACCAGCCACACGGGAACUGAGACACGGUCCAGACUCCUACGGGAGGCAGCAGUGGGGAAUAUUGGACAAUGGGCGCAAGCCUGAUGCAGCCAUCCCGCGUGUAUGAUGAAGGCCUUCGGGUUGUAAAGUACUUUCAGCGGGGAGGCGGUACCUGCAGAAGAAGCACCGGCUAACUCCGUGCCAGCAGCCGCGGUAAUUC